GGGGACGACACAGGGGAAUGAAUUCCAGAAGACUCUCUGACACCUUGCAUGAAAGUUCCACUAGAGACAAAGGCAACUGCAUCCCGACAAUAGAUCAACUCCAUCAAAUCAGAUGGCAGAAGCCUCCAGACAUACUUGAGGACAGUGGGAAGCAGAAGGAACUGGAAUUACAGUGACCAGUUAGAACUUAGGGUAAAGGUUCUGGCAAGACACGCAGACAACACAGCCAGUAAGGGAGAAAUCAUAAAGCCCUGACUCUGAGCUGGGCCCUAUUCCAAGUAUUCGCCAUAUAUUACAUCAUUUCAACCUCACAACCUGAAGAAGCUGGUACCAUUCUCAUCUCAUCUGAGAAAUAAAGAAAGUGAGGCCCAGAUCAUUUUGUCAGAUAAAAUACUAGAUGCCCAAUUUUAUGGAACCUCAGAUAAACAAGGAAUCCUUCAGGAUAACUAGGUCCACGCAAUAUUGGGUUUGUUAAAGCUGGCACUCCUGGGUGCAGAAAGGUGAAGUA